ACUAACUGCAAAUAACUAACUGCACAAAUAAAUUGUAUAUGAGUGCUGACUCUGGGUGACGGCCAUCAGCACUCCCAACAAAAUCAUAUAUAUUUUCCCCAAAAAAUGUGCCAGGUAAAAAGCGUCCAUCCGGCACUGAUUGCCAUAUGGCCACCCAACAACGCUGACCCAGCGGCCCAAAUGCCCCAACCUCGAAACCAGCUGGGCCAGAGAUGACGGGUGGCCACUGCCAAAGAACUUUGGCUGCAGGGCGGAUGGACGCAUGCUUGGAGUCGGAAGCAGUAAACUGUAAACACAAGGCAAAGAUAUGAAUAAAAA